ensembl:lncRNA
CGGGCGGGGAUAGCGCGGGCGGGGGGCGCGGAUCCGCGGGGCUGGGGCCGAGGGAAGUGGCGCUCGUUCGUCAGGGGCUGGGCUUGCAUUUGGAACCGAAGUUUGGAUUCUGCAGAUGUCGGUGAUCCACAUGGGAGCAGCCUUCAGCCUCCACCCCUAAGGAAUGUGCCAGAGAGAAUCAUGGAAUGGCCUGGGUUGAAAAGAACCACAACGAUCAUGUAGUUCCAACCUCCCCUGCUGUGUGCAGGGUCGCCAACCAGCAGACCAGGCUGCCCAGAGCCACAUCCAGCCUGGCCUUGAAUGCCUCCAGGGAUGGGGCAUCCACAACCUCCUUGGGCAACCUGUUCCAGUGUGUCAAAGAACACAACGGAUGCUGAUUUUCUAGCACAUCCGUGCUGGGUGUGCCCACUGCUACAGGCAGGGUGCAAGUGGUGCCCUCACUACAACUAAGAUACUUCCAGCAGGUGUUUUUCAAUUGCAUACCUUUCAGGCUGAAGUUGACUGCAGGCGAGAUAGACUUUUUUUCAAAAACAGCAAAUAAAAAGAGAUCCCUGAUUUCCAAGUGAGAAAGCAAAACGGCAUAUUUGCUGUGAUAAAAGAUGUGCUGAAACAUUUGGGCUGUUUUUUGAAUAGUUGUAGUCCUUCUGUUGAUGUAGUUGAACUGGAAUGGGGUGAGGAGAUGAUCCCCAGGCACAGCCUGUUUUUAAGUGCUUUAUUCCCAGCAACUCAAUGUUAUUUAAAAAUACUUUCCGCAUAGUUUGUUUUUAUUCGGUGUUGUUUAUAAAGAAAUACACACCCAUCUCCAGCUAGUGUCCUGACCUCAUGGGAGUCAGAAGGUCUCUCUGAUCUGAUACAUCAUAGAAUCCAAAACAUCAUAGAAGGGAUUAGUUUGGAAGGGACCUCACAGCCCACCCAGUCCCAACCCCCUGCCAUGGGCAGGGCUGCCACCCACCACAUCAGGCUGCCCAGGGCCCCGUCCAACCCAGCCUUGAAUGCCUCCCAGUGUAAGUUUAAUUGUUUUGCAGUGCUAGCUAAAGGCCACAAUGAAGAACUAAGACCCUACCGUGCUAAAUAAGGCACAUAGGCCCAGUACUCAGGGCUGGUCUCCUUUGGCCCACAGGGAUCGGACACCCAAUGACCUUCCUGCAUACUUGCAGGUGAAAGGCAAAGUAGGAACUCUUCUUAGAGCCGUAACUUCAGACUCAGGAAAUACACAGAUUCAUGAAAACUCACGUGGAGGGCAUGAUAACUCAGAUUAUCUGAGGGCCCCCACCUUGUCAGGAUUCAAUAUAUAUGCCACAUAAUUCAUGAAGGCUUGUAUUGGCUGAACUAAGCCUCCUAAUAAGUGAACAUGAAGCUACUAUUUCUCCCUCCCUCGAGCAUUUUGCCUAAUAACCCUCAAUGCUUCAAGUGAAAUCCCUGCGCCUUCCCCUUCCGUGACUUAGUUGGGCAGGAGGCCGAUCCAGUUUCCUGAGACAAUGUUGAUCUGGAAUUAUCUCAUAGGUUAAAAGCUGGGAGUAGCACAAUCUCUUAUGUGUCACUAUUGUUAGCUACUCCUAGCUUUUUUUUCUUUUUUUUUAAUCUACUCCAGCUUUUCCAAAUAAAUUUGGCAUAUACAACAUUUUAGCUAAGCUUUUGACUCACAACAAAGGAAGGAAAGAUUUUCAAUACGUGGAAGCACCAUUGUUUUGCAUGUAACUUUGGAUUUAUAGCUGCUUUGAAAUGUUCAUAUACUAAAACAUGGUGUACGGUUCUUUUUAAUGUAACGUGAGCUGUCAUUUGUAUAUACACACACAUAUGAUGGAUGCCUGAGCCUUGAAUAGAUGUUCCGGAUCUCCGCAAACCCUUCAUCUGAAAAUUACAACUUCUGAGCUGGCUUAAUAGAUAAUGUAGGGUUGUUGUCCUUCAUUUUAGACUGUUCUUGGAGACAGAAAGCUGCACAGUUAGCCCCAUUUCACCUUCAGACAGCAGGUGAAUUCCUAAGGAAUUAGCCAGAUCACUUCCACCCACUGCAGGGACUACCUGUGCUCUGAAAAACAACAUUCAAUCCCAGAGAGGCUGUAGAUGCCCCAUCCCUGGAGGUGUUCAAGGCCAGGUUGGAUGGGGCCCUGGGCAACCUGGCCUACUAAAUGGGGAGGUUGGUGGCCCUGCCUGGCAGGGGGGUUGGAGAUUCAUGAUCCUUGAGGUCCCUUCCAACCCAGGCCAUUCUGUGAUGCUGUGAUUCAAUCAAACGGCUUCAAUCUUCAUCUCUCUCCAACCUUGAUAAUGCAUGACCAAGCUCCCUAUUUCUGUCCUGAAAAACGUAGCCUGAGACUGAACUGGAAGAAUACCACUCUACAGCAGGGAUACAAGUGAUACCUCAACACUGCUUGCAGUGCUUCUGUAAACAAUGGGACCAUGAACAAUUCAGCUGAACAAUACAGAAACAAAUUCUCUUCUUGUUACUCAUGCUGCCGCUACCCAUAGCUCUUCUGUCUUCUUGCCAACUACUUAAUUCCUCUCCCUCCUUUGAUCUUCCAUUACCAGUGUUUUGGGGUCAUUUCCUUUGUUGAUAAGCAGUCAGCUUUUUAAUGUUUCCAACAUCUGGAAGGACACAUGCCAAUGCUUCGCUCACAACGACCUGUCUCAGCAACAUACCAGAAAACCCUACAUGUUGCAUGAAAGUGCGUUUCUUCAUGAGUACUUCUGCACAUCCAUUCAGUCCCCUGGAUUUCCGUGGUAGAAAUUUCCAUAGAAACAGUGAUUUCAACAGCUUUCUGGGAUGUUGUACUAGAUUCAGCCAUUAGGCACCGUUCUCUUGAUUUAGUACUGAGACCGGCACAUUACAGAAGGGACUACGUGACACAUCAUCAAAUCAUAGCAUUUACUGAGUUUCUUCAGAAUAGUUACUAACUAAAACUUUUCCUCAUUCUCUCUGUUACUCCAGAGUCUCCUAUUAAUUGUUGAUAGCUUCACAGCAAGACAUCACUGAAAUAUAUGUGCUCUCUGUAUAUUUUGUUGUUUUUUUUCUCAACUGCCUGGGUACAUAUGAUUGCACAAUAAUAUGGAGCUUUUACUUCCCAUUAACAUCAGGAUUGCGUGAUAUAUAAACUGCUUUUCUUCUUAACCAUGCCAUUUGUACCAACUAACAUUCAGAAUAGUUAAUGGGGAAGCUUUAUUUUCUCAUUCUAACGAGCCUUGAUCUCUAUAAUAUAAAUUCACCAUUCUAAAAAAGAAAACAAACCUCUGGCUCUGAUAUUCACUCCAUAUAAGUUUCCCGUGCUGCCCCCAAUUCUUAGUUAGACACAGUGAACCUGAAAUUUUCAAAUAAGUAAAACACUAAGUGCACAUCAGCUGCAAUGUUUUGUGAGGUUAGUAUACGGGUACAUGAUCAUAAGCGAAUCCUCCCAGCUCAUCUUUUGCAUGUCACUCAACUAAAAAUUACACAGAAUGGGAAUAAGACACACUCUUCUUGCACAGUUACAGAGAGCCAAGGAGAUAACAAAUUGUCUCUGAUUGUUGGCUAGAGAGAAACUGUGACAGCACAAAUGCCUUCAGGAGCUGGAAUUCACAAAGUGGACUUCUGUGACUGUCUAAUCCAGCUUUCUUAAUCUAACAGGCCAUAUCACUUUGCCUCUCUACAUCCUGUUUGAACUACAGCAUAUCUGUUAGAACCACAAACUAAUUUUGGUUCUGAGGGACCUCAUCCUGCCCCUAAUUUCAUUUGACUUUAGCUCCUAGUAGUGCCAUUCCAGAUGGAAGGGUCUUCUUAAGGGAUUUCUGACAGAGGCAAUGACUGUGAUCAAAGCACCGUUUAGCGCUCUCUUUGAAAGUUCAACAGAUGUGGUAUUUUUCUGUAUUCUGAAGCUAAUGCCAGAUCUGGAGAGCAUCCUAGGCACAGAGGCUAGAAGUAAGAAAGCAGAAAUACUACAUCAACAUCACUACUGCCUGAUAUUUCUUUGUUUAUCCUUCCAGAGAUUGCACUGUUAGUCCUUUUAACAGGGCGUCACAUCACAUGGAGGGACCCAGUUUGAUGGAUAUUCUGCUCAUUAUUUUUGAUUAUUAUUGAUGGAUAUUCGCCCUCAUUAUUAACUAUCCCCCCAUCUCUGUAUCAUUUGCAAGUAUCUGUGGCAACUGCGUGUUACCUGCAAAGUUAUUAAUAAACAUUCAGCAGUAUGCAGCC